AUGACUAACCAAAACAUACCCGUUUGUCCGCACCUUUUGUCUCUGUUCCUAGCAAAGCCUCCCACUAAACUUGGUCAAAAAUUUAUGGUAUUUGUAAUGCAACAUGGAACAUUAGAUUGCUCUGUUUCUCUUUUCAGCACAGCUAGUCGAUACCAUCUGUGGCCUAACAUUUUAAACUUUUCUCUCUCAGUUAUUGGGUUCUUUGUACGCUUUGAAGAUGAUAGUGUCGAUUCAGCAAAAGUGGUCAAACAGUGGAAUGUCAAAAUCAUAUCUAUAAGCAAGAAUAAAAGGCAUCAAGACAGACCGGCUGCUCUGGAGGUGUGGGAUCGGCUGGAUGAAUUUGUGCGGGCCGGAACGGCACAUCCUCAUAUUACAAAGAUAGAAUCUAUAAGUUGUUUAUACAGAAUUAUAGAUAUAAUAGUAGAAGUCGUCAGUGACAACUUCCUGCUGCACCUGCUUCUUACCACGGGCACAUGCAUGCAAAGGUUCUGUCAAAAGCCAUCUACGCAUGUGUUUUUCCACUCCAUAUCACCGAAAAGCAACGGUAUCUUUCUGGUGCCACCACCAACAGGUAUUGUUAGUUCUGUUGCCUCCAAUCUUAGUAGUAGUCGUCUCUCUGCAUCUCAGUCAAAUUGUACACUUUCAACUUUCUCAAGCAUUCGGCCAAAGUGGAGAUGA
rnacentral:rRNA from 1 species